UACGGGUUGAAGCAUGACCGUAAGGACAUGUGGACAGUAUGGGAGUGAGAAUGUUGGCAUGAGUAGCGAGAUGUGGGUGAGAAUCCCACAGGCCGUAAACCCAAGGUUUCCAGGGGAAGGUUCGUCCGCCCUGGGUUAGUCGGGACCUAAGCUGAGGCCGAAAGGCGUAGGUGAUGGACAACAGGUUGAUAUUCCUGUACUACCGAUAACCGUUUGAGAGAAGGGAUGACACAGUAGGAUAAGCUAAGCACACUGUUGGUUAUGUGUGCCCAAGCAUUGAGGCAGUCAAAGUAGGCAAAUCCGCUUUGAUAAUGCUGGGAUGUGAUGGGGAGCGAAAUUUAGUAGCGAAGUAGCUGAUUUCACACUGUCAAGAAAAGUCUCUAUCGAGGUUAAAGGUACCCGUACCGCAAACCGACACAGGUGGGUGAGGAGAGUAUCCUAAGGCCAGCGAGAGAACUGUUGUUAAGGAACUCGGCAAAAUGACCCCGUAACUUAGGGAUAAGGGGUGCCACCAUCAGGUGGCCGCAGAGAAUAGGCCCAAGCGACUGUUUACCAAAAACAUAGGUUUCUGCUAAGUCGCAAGACGAUGUAUAGGAGCUGACGCCUGCCCGGUGCUGGAAGGUUAAGGGGAUCUGUUAGAGCAAUCGAAGCAGUGAACUUAAGCCCCAGUAAACGGCGGCCGUAACUAUAACGGUCCUAAGGUAGCGAAAUUCCUUGUCGGGUAAGUUCCGACCCGCACGAAAGGCGUAACGAUUUGGGCACUGUCUCAACAACAGACUCGGUGAAAUUGUAAUUCCGGUGAAGAUGCCGGAUACCUGCGACAGGACGGAAAGACCCCAUGGAGCUUUACUGUAGCUUGACAUUGGGUCUUGGUACUACAUGUACAGGAUAGGUGGGAGGCUUUGAAACCAGGACGCCAGUUUUGGCGGAGCCAUCCUUGGGAUACCACCCUUGUAGUACUGGGACUCUAACCAUAGGCCAUGAAUCUGGUCUUGGGACACUGUCAGG
rnacentral:rRNA from 1 species